rnacentral:rRNA from 1 species
CCUACGGGGAGCUGCAGUGGGGAAUAUUGGACAAUGGGCGAAAGCCUGAUCCAGCCAUGCCGCGUGUGUGAAGAAGGCCUUCGGGUUGUAAAGCACUUUCAGUGGGGAAGAAAGCCUUGGGGCUAAUACCCUCGAGGAAGGACAUCACCCACAGAAGAAGCACCGGCUAACUCCGUGCCAGCAGCCGCGGUAAUACGGAGGGUGCGAGCGUUAAUCGGAAUUACUGGGCGUAAAGCGCGCGUAGGCGGUCUGAUAAGCCGGUUGUGAAAGCCCCGGGCUCAACCUGGGAACGGCAUCCGGAACUGUCAGGCUAGAGUGCAGGAGAGGAAGGUAGAAUUCCCGGUGUAGCGGUGAAAUGCGUAGAGAUCGGGAGGAAUACCAGUGGCGAAGGCGACCUUCUGGACUGACACUGACGCUGAGGUGCGAAAGCGUGGGUAGCAAACAGGAUUAGAUACCCCAGUAGUC